rnacentral:rRNA from 1 species
AACGAACGCUGGCGGCGUGCCUAACACAUGCAAGUCGAACGGGAUCAAGGGGCUUGCUCCUUGGUCUAGUGGCGCACGGGCGAGUAACGCGUGGAUAAUCUGCCCUGGUAUCCUGGAUGACAUCUCGAAAGGGGUGCUAAUACGGGAUAAGCCCACGGGAACUUCGGUUCUUGCGGGAAAAGGUGGUGACCUUCGGGCCUACCGUAUCAGGAUGAGUCCGCGUACCAUUAGCUAGUUGGCGGGGUAACGGCCCACCAAGGCGACGAUGGUUAGGUGGUCUGAGAGGAUGAUCAGCCACACUGGAACUGAGACACGGUCCAGACUCCUACGGGAGGCAGCAGUGGGGAAUUUUGCGAAAUGGGGGAAACCCUGACGCAGCAACGCCGCGUGAGUGAUGAAGGCCUUCGGGUCGUAAAGCUCUGUCAGAGGGAAAGAAGUGCAGGAGGGAUAAUACUCCUUUUGCUUGACGGUACCCUCAAAGGAAGCACCGGCUAACUCCGUGCCAGCAGCCGCAGUAAAAC